GACGAGCGCUGGCGGCGUGCUUAACACAUGCAAGUCGAACGGAAAGGCCCUGCUUUUGUGGGGUGCUCGAGUGGCGAACGGGUGAGUAACACGUGAGUAACCUGCCCUUGACUUUGGGAUAACUUCAGGAAACUGGGGCUAAUACCGGAUAGGAGCUCCUGCUGCAUGGUGGGGGUUGGAAAGUUUCGGCGGUUGGGGAUGGACUCGCGGCUUAUCAGCUUGUUGGUGGGGUAGUGGCUUACCAAGGCUUUGACGGGUAGCCGGCCUGAGAGGGUGACCGGCCACAUUGGGACUGAGAUACGGCCCAGACUCCUACGGGAGGCAGCAGUGGGGAAUAUUGCACAAUGGGCGGAAGCCUGAUGCAGCAACGCCGCGUGCGGGAUGACGGCCUUCGGGUUGUAAACCGCUUUCGCCUGUGACGAAGCGUGAGUGACGGUAAUGGGUAAAGAAGCACCGGCUAACUACG
rnacentral:rRNA from 1 species